UUUGUUGUAUUCAGUUAAAGGUGGAGCUUAAUGAAAUGUCAUCAAAAGAAUUUGACAGAAAAAGUAAGAGAGAGAAAACUGGAAGAGCCAUUAAUCUAAAUCUACAUCCAAAUUCCAUAAGUGUGUUUCUAGAGUAAAGGACUCAUAUAUUCACACACUAUAACAGACGCACAGAAUAAUGUAUCCUUUUUGAAAUUCUUUCUUAGAUUUGACUGAGAGGCUUUUUCCAAUAUAAACUUUACUAUCAGAUUUCCCCUGAAGACUCCAUAUUAUACUAUCUGACUUCUGAAAUCUUAUCUUGCAGGGUCUGCCUGGUCCUCAAGGCCCGAUCGGUCCACCUGGAGAGAAAGUGAGUUUGUGGAUGAGAGCUGGCCAACCCAGCAGCCAUCGUCUUUGUUAUUACAGACGGCAUUUUUCUGCCCUAACCCUAUAAACGAUUCAACAGACUCCUCGGUUUCUGAGCUGUAGGUUGCUUGCAGAUCACUGCUGACUAGAGGAAAACCACACACGCACACACACACACACACACACACACACACACACACACACACACACACACACACACCUCAAGACUCACUACUGCUUUGACAAGCAAAAGAUAUGCUUACACACAUAACUGUCAUUGGUAAGAGUCUCAGACAAGCAUUUUGUCAGGUCUCCUGGAAGGAUGCCAGAGAGUCUGAAAUGUGACUCCAGAAGUGGUAGAGUGUUUCCAGACAUACCGUAUGAUUAGACCUCUUCUUUACCAAGAGGAAAAAGAUGAUAAUGAAGUGCUUUAGGAUUGAACUGCUUAUAAAAGUUGCCCAGCGAAUCACUUGGGCACACCAGUAGUCACAGCUUUAAUUGUGUGUUUUUUUUCUCCCUCUUCUUUUUCUUUCUUCUUUUCUCACUUAACCUCUCAUAUAGGGUCCCAGUGGGAAACAGGGGCUCCAUGGACUGGCUGGGGCUGAUGGGCCUCCUGGUCAUCCUGGGAAAGAGGGUUCUCCCGGGGAGAAAGGAGCAGCUGUGAGUACAUUUUUAGUUUGUCUUGAAAUUAAUUGUUAUUCUAAGUUCCAGUUAUUGAACACAUUUUAAGUGCAAAGCCACGAUACACCCAUAAUUAACACUGUCUGUAAUUAACACUUAAUGUGUGGCCCCUUUAGAAGUUUAAAACCUAAUUCCUCUCUAUUAAUCCUUAUUA
ensembl:lncRNA